rnacentral:rRNA from 1 species
CAUGUCUUUUUGAUUUUAAUUUAAGGUUUGAUCUGCUCGAUGAUUAAUUAAAUUGCCGCAGUAUUUUAACUGUGCUAAGGUAGCAUAAUCAUUAGUUUUUUAAUUUGAAACUGGAAUGAAUGAUUGGACAAGAUGAUUUCUGUCUCAUUUUAAAUUUAUUUUAAUUUUAUUUUUAAGUGAAAAAGCUUAAAUAUUUUUAAAAGACGAGAAGACCCUAUAGAGUUUUACAUUAAUUUAAUAUUAGAAAGUUAUUGAAAUGUUUAUUUGGGGUGAUUUGAGAAUUUAAUAAAUUUCUUAAAUUUUAAAUUGAUGAUAGUUAAGCUUAAAUUUUAAUAGUUUUAUAAAUAAUAUAAAUUACCUUAGGGAUAACAGCGUAAUUUUUUUUAAAAGUUCUUAUUGUAAAAAAAGUUUGCGACCUCGAUGUUGGAUUAAAAUGAAUUAUUGGCGCAAUAGCUAAUCGAUUGGGUCUGUUCGACCUUUAAAAUUUUACAUGAUCUGAGU